CGUCCUCCCCUUUUCCUUCGCACGUACGUCUCCUUCCCCCCUCUUCCUUUACAGGCACGUAUUCUCCUCCCCUCUUCUGCUUGUUCCCCUUCCUCCUCCGGCUGCAUCCUCGCGACGCAGCAGUUCGCCCUUCUCCCUCGUUAGCCGCCGCUGGGUCUUCCCACUGGAGAUGGAGGAGUAGGGGGUUCUGCCAGAUCCGAGGCGUGUGGACGUGGCGGCGAGCGUCUCCAACAGCGGCGGCGACCUGCAGACAAAGGGCGGCGGGGAGCGGCGCCUCCACCUCUCUCCUCCUCAUCUCCUUGCGCGCAGUGAGUGCUUUGGGGUUUCUGUUGGGACAAGGAGAGGAUCUGUGAUGCGCACAUCACUAGGUUGCACCACUACCCAAGCGACGGCUUCGCAGAUGAGCUGCUGGAGAUCGCCAAGGCCACCUGGGGCAAAGAAACAGUGAGGUUCCAUCCUUCCUUCUUCAAAAUUCAUCUCAUGUUUUACCUUCUUGAUUUCUCCAACAUCACUUGUGUGGAUGCCCAUAGGUAACAGAAAGCCACGAGUGGUCAGGACAAACAAAUGACCUGUGGAGCUUCAUAUUCAGUUAUUUGUUAGCUAUUUGCUUGCUUCAAAUGUCUACAUGCUAUAGGAAUUAAGGCUCUGCUGUCUCUAUUUUCACAGAUUUUAUUGUAUAUACAUGCAGAUAACUUCAGCAUGAGAGCAAGAGGUUGGAGCAGAUGCAACACAUUCAGUUGCUCCUGGACUGUAUAUAUUCAUGUUUUUGUAGGUAAUUGUUCACCUUUUAGUCAAUUUCCUUAUAGUUGUAGUUCAGAACUUCAGACACAACUUUCCAUGUUGUCAACCAGAAAAAAAAGCAAUUUAUUGGAACCAUUAGAUUUAUUAGUAGAUGUAGUCGUUAUAUUUCUACAGGGGAUGUACUAAAGCAAAGAAACCCAUCCCUUUUAAUUCAUGUAAAGUUCAUGUAUGUAAUGAGGUGGCACUCUUAAAGGGUGAAAAUUAUGCAAUAUUAUCCCCUUCCUUUUCUCGGUACUAAAUAUUUUUUGCGGUCUGUACUUUGCCAAUGAAUCUCAAAUUCCAAUACUCGGCUAUAACCAUUGUCACUACACUCAUAUGAAUGGUUUACAAAUUACAUGUUUGCAGAAUUUUCAGUCCAGUUGUUUUUCGACUUAGCAGAAUUAAUAUGUUGAUGGAAGGGGAAGCCAUCAAUUUCGGGGAAAAUGCCCACAGGGACAACACCAUUAGGCAUGGUGCUGACACUACAUGUUAUGAAGGAUAUAAAGUGGUCAGGAUCAACAAAAAACCUGCUGAGCUUCAUAUUCAGCUAUUUAUUAGCUACUUGUGUGCUUCAAAUGUCUACAUACUAUAGACUAUUUCGUAGAUUUUAUUGUAUACAUGCAGAUAACUUAAUCAAUUUGUUGGACAAUGAACAUGUUUUAAGAAGAAAAGUGGAUAUUAAGGUGUGCAUACAAAAACGCUGCUAGAUUCAGGGUAGAAGCACAAAUUGCAGAGAUGAUUUAUGACAUGUGAUUAUGUUUAAUAGCUUAAGGAUGGCGAUUAUAUGUCUAUUUCUAUACUGUCACGCAGGUGAGUGUCUCUCUUGUGUCCCUCUUGCCACCCGCUUUGUGCUAUUCAUAUGUUUCUUUUCUAUAUCUAGAACUGCUCUUUCGUUUGUGUUUGUCAAGGUUUGACAUGCUUGUGGUGGUUAAUCUCUGUAGGCUUUCUUUGACCUGGAGAAUGGCAACCAGGAGCUCAAGAGUGACAAGGACGUCUAUAUCAACACUUCAAUGGGCCGACGGCGUGCGGUAGACGUACGAGCUCCUCAUCUACAUUGACCUCCACUACGGCUCACGCGGCGCCAACGCCAAGCAGGAGGAGAAGGUGGGCUGAAUGGAAUGGAAAGUACAGAGAUGAUAUUCGAAGAUUCAUCAAGGUACUGUUUGCUAAAUCCUGAUUCCAGUCAUUACCGUUCUCCCAAAUCUCUAUCAUUUCCGUAUAUUAUUAAGACAGAUCAUUAUAUGGCUUUGUUCAUACCCAUUUUGUCAUGGUGAAAUAUUAGGACCGUCUGUUUUAAAUUUUCAUUGAUAGAAGCCAAGUUACAGAUAUAAAACACAGAAUGAUAAAAGACCGGAACAGCCAAAAAAGAGAAAGAUUACCACAGAAGAAUAUAGAAUUUUCAAGUAUGCAUGAGGCUUCUAUGCCUGUUCAAAUUUAUUUUCCCAAUUUUCCAUGUACUGCUAUUGCUUCCACUCUGCCUGCCGUUUUAGCCAUCAGUUGAGGAUAUUUCGUACUUGGUUAUAUCAUCGUUAAACAUACUUUCUUUUGGAGCCCUGUUUCUUGAUGUUUUGCAGUACUUUUUUACAGUAUUUGUGAAUUCCAGAACUUAAUACAGGAAACACACAUUAAGGUGUGUGUUUGAGAAAAAUAAUUCCUAAGCUUAAGCCUUCAUCGUUGUUGAAAGUUGAAACUAUACACUUGGUUUAUUUAUUUUUUGUGGACACAGAUGUCGAAACAAAAAUGAUGCAACUGAAACUUCCUUUUUUGAUGUGAUAGUAGUUAGAACCAAAGACCAGCGAUUUAUUUCAUAUGUUAUUUGCAUGCAAAGACCGAUAUGUUGACAAAGCGUACAGAAUAGGGUUUACAACGAAUGAACAAAAAUCUAAAACUUCGUCUUGUCAUUUCAGGCCUUCUUGAUUUAUAAUUUUCUUCCACCUCGUUGGUAUUGCUUUCAUACCAGCCACAGAGUUCUGCAUUUAAACAGAGUAGUCAGUCAGAGUGAACAUUUUUAUAUACUGUGUGCUCAUGACCUUUGUAUGGGUGAAUAGUCAAAUUUCAUAUGGAGAACAGUUCAUUGUUGGAAGAAGUAGCUGGUGCUGAAAGGAUCUCCAGGAGCCGAUGCAUCUCUUCAUAUUUUUGUGUACUACAAGUAGUUGGGGGCCUGCUAAAUCUCAGAGAAGGCUCUAUCUGCAUCAGGGAAGGCUCUAUCUCAGAGAAGGCUCUAUCUAGCAGCUGCUGGAAUCCUUGUUCUCUAUCUUCCGUUUUUACAUCUAUAUUUUCAUAUUUGACACCUCAAAUUUCAAAUAACUAUAAUUUGGUAUUUGACCUGCACGGAUUUUAUUGACUAACAAAAAUAAUGUUUUGCUACUUAA